rnacentral:lncRNA from 1 species
GGGGUGUCCAGCUGCUUCAGUGGUGGAGAAGUCUGAAGUUGCAGUUCAUAGACAGCAUGAGGAGAGCAAUGCACUGGAUUAGGUACCAUGUUGGAACAAGCAUGAAAUGUCAACAUCGUGACUCCUGGAGAGGAUUUCGAUUGACACAGGUGUGAAAGCAGCAGUGGGUCCUUCUGUGCAAGCACUGCAGGUGCGGAUUCUGUGCUGAGUUGUGACCCCACAGCGCCCUGUCAACUGCGGUGUGACUACAUCAUGUGUGAGACAUCACAGCUAAUAUUUCCAAAAGCACCUCCUGUG